UGUCUUCGGGGCGGGGUGCGAUUCCCCACCGGCGGUGAUCCCCUUGGGGAAGCCCGCGAGCAGGCGUGCGCCUGUUGAUUUGGUGAAAAUCCAAAGCCGACGGUAUAGUCCGGAUGAAAGAAGAUG
rnacentral:ncRNA from 1 species